CUGUGAGCUCGAUGAGUAGGGCGGGACACGUGGUAUCCUGUCUGAAUAUGGGGGGACCAUCCUCCAAGGCUAAAUACUCCUGACUGACCGAUAGUGAACCAGUACCGUGAGGGAAAGGCGAAAAGAACCCCGGCGAGGGGAGUGAAAAAGAACCUGAAACCGUGUACGUACAAGCAGUGGGAGCACGCUUAGGCGUGUGACUGCGUACCUUUUGUAUAAUGGGUCAGCGACUUAUAUUCUGUAGCAAGGUUAACCGAAUAGGGGAGCCGAAGGGAAACCGAGUCUUAACUGGGCGUUAAGUUGCAGGGUAUAGACCCGAAACCCGGUGAUCUAGCCAUGGGCAGGUUGAAGGUUGGGUAACACUAACUGGAGGACCGAACCGACUAAUGUUGAAAAAUUAGCGGAUGACUUGUGGCUGGGGGUGAAAGGCCAAUCAAACCGGGAGAUAGCUGGUUCUCCCCGAAAGCUAUUUAGGUAGCGCCUCGUGAAUUCAUCUCCGGGGGUAGAGCACUGUUUCGGCAAGGGGGUCAUCCCGACUUACCAACCCGAUGCAAACUGCGAAUACCGGAGAAUGUUAUCACGGGAGACACACGGCGGGUGCUAACGUCCGUCGUGAAGAGGGAAACAACCCAGACCGCCAGCUAAGGUCCCAAAGUCAUGGUUAAGUGGGAAACGAUGUGGGAAGGCCCAGACAGCCAGGAUGUUGGCUUAGAAGCAGCCAUCAUUUAAAGAAAGCGUAAUAGCUCACUGGUCGAGUCGGCCUGCGCGGAAGAUGUAACGGGGCUAAACCAUGCACCGAAGCUGCGGCAGCGACACUAUGUGUUGUUGGGUAGGGGAGCGUUCUGUAAGCCUGUGAAGGUGUACUGUGAGGUAUGCUGGAGGUAUCAGAAGUGCGAAUGCUGACAUAAGUAACGAUAAAGCGGGUGAAAAGCCCGCUCGCCGGAAGACCAAGGGUUCCUGUCCAACGUUAAUCGGGGCAGGGUGAGUCGACCCCUAAGGCGAGGCCGAAAGGCGUAGUCGAUGGGAAACAGGUUAAUAUUCCUGUACUUGGUGUUACUGCGAAGGGGGGACGGAGAAGGCUAUGUUGGCCGGGCGACGGUUGUCCCGGUUUAAGCGUGUAGGCUGGUUUUCCAGGCAAAUCCGGAAAAUCAAGGCUGAGGCGUGAUGACGAGGCACUACGGUGCUGAAGCAACAAAUGCCCUGCUUCCAGGAAAAGCCUCUAAGCAUCAGGUAACAUCAAAUCGUACCCCAAACCGACACAGGUGGUCAGGUAGAGAAUACCAAGGCGCUUGAGAGAACUCGGGUGAAGGAACUAGGCAAAAUGGUGCCGUAACUUCGGGAGAAGGCACGCUGAUAUGUAGGUGAAGUCCCUCGCGGAUGGAGCUGAAAUCAGUCGAAGAUACCAGCUGGCUGCAACUGUUUAUUAAAAACACAGCACUGUGCAAACACGAAAGUGGACGUAUACGGUGUGACGCCUGCCCGGUGCCGGAAGGUUAAUUGAUGGGGUCAGCGCAAGCGAAGCUCUUGAUCGAAGCCCCGGUAAACGGCGGCCGUAACUAUAACGGUCCUAAGGUAGCGAAAUUCCUUGUCGGGUAAGUUCCGACCUGCACGAAUGGCGUAAUGAUGGCCAGGCUGUCUCCACCCGAGACUCAGUGAAAUUGAACUCGCUGUGAAGAUGCAGUGUACCCGCGGCAAGACGGAAAGACCCCGUGAACCUUUACUAUAGCUUGACACUGAACAUUGAGCCUUGAUGUGUAGGAUAGGUGGGAGGCUUUGAAGUGUGGACGCCAGUCUGCAUGGAGCCGACCUUGAAAUACCACCCUUUAAUGUUUGAUGUUCUAACGUUGACCCGUGAUCCGGGUUGCGGACAGUGUCUGGUGGGUAGUUUGACUGGGGCGGUCUCCUCCUAAAGAGUAACGGAGGAGCACGAAGGUUGGCUAAUCCUGGUCGGACAUCAGGAGGUUAGUGCAAUGGCAUAAGCCAGCUUGACUGCGAGCGUGACGGCGCGAGCAGGUGCGAAAGCAGGUCAUAGUGAUCCGGUGGUUCUGAAUGGAAGGGCCAUCGCUCAACGGAUAAAAGGUACUCCGGGGAUAACAGGCUGAUACCGCCCAAGAGUUCAUAUCGACGGCGGUGUUUGGCACCUCGAUGUCGGCUCAUCACAUCCUGGGGCUGAAGUAGGUCCCAAGGGUAUGGCUGUUCGCCAUUUAAAGUGGUACGCGAGCUGGGUUUAGAACGUCGUGAGACAGUUCGGUCCCUAUCUGCCGUGGGCGCUGGAGAACUGAGGGGGGCUGCUCCUAGUACGAGAGGACCGGAGUGGACGCAUCACUGGUGUUCGGGUUGUCAUGCCAAUGGCACUGCCCGGUAGCUAAAUGCGGAAGAGAUAAGUGCUGAAAGCAUCUAAGCACGAAACUUGCCCCGAGAUGAGUUCUCCCUGACUCCUUGAGAGUCCUGAAGGAACGUUGAAGACGACGACGUUGAUAGGCCGGGUGUGUAAGCGCAGCGAUGCGUUGAGCUAACCGGUACUAAUGAACCGUGAGGCUUAACCUUACAACGCCGAAG
rnacentral:rRNA from 1 species